ensembl:lncRNA
GUCCUCCGGUCCCCAGGCUCUGGUGCUGGAGCCUCACAUGGUCAGGCCUUGAUGAGAGCACGGCUGAAACACACACUGUCCCUGGGAGGUAAGGAGGACAGGUCAUGCUUGGGGACACAUGAAGGAUAUGACACCCCCCCACACUUGUCAGCUUCUGAUCACACACCGAGCUGGAUGGUGAAGACAGCUGUCCAGCACACUGGAGGGGUGGUGUGUUCCAGCCUGCGUAUGUUGGGCAGCCACCUGGAGAACCUGUUUGUUCACUCUCAGGAGGGAGCCAGAAAGAGCCGGUACAAGACUGCCCCCUCCUCUGCCAUACUGGCUCCCUGCUGCAGAGACCAGGAAGGCCCCACCCUCUGCAGGUGAGCUCAGGUCUGCCCAUAUCCCUGGGUCCAGUGCAG